UACAGAGGUCUCAAGCGUUGUUCGGAUUCAUUGGGCGUAAAGGGUGCGUAGGCGGCGCGGUAAGUCGGGUGUGAAAUCUCGGAGCUUAACUUCGAAACUGCAUUCGAUACUGCCGUGCUUGAGGACUGGAGAGGAGACUGGAAUUUACGGUGUAGCGGUGAAAUGCGUAGAUAUCAGGAGGAAUACCGGUGGCGAAGGCGGCUAUCUGGCCAUGUACUGACGCUGAGAUACGAAAGCGUGGGGAGCAAACAGG
rnacentral:rRNA from 1 species